CGGAGGAAAAUAAACUAACAAGGAUUCCCCUAGUAACGGCGAGCGAAGCGGGAAGAGCUCAAAUUUGAAAGCUGGCGCCUUCGGCGUCCGCGUUGUAAUCUCGAGACGUGUUUUCCGUGCGGCGCUAUGGACAAGUCCCUUGGAACAGGGCAUCGUAGAGGGUGAAAAUCCCGUACUUGCCAUGGAUGUACCGUGCUUUGUGAUACACGCUCUAAGAGUCGAGUUGUUUGGGAUUGCAGCUCAAAAUGGGUGGUAGACUCCAUCUAAAGCUAAAUAUCGGGGAGAGACCGAUAGCGAACAAGUACCGUGAGGGAAAGAUGAAAAGCACUUUGGAAAGAGAGUUAAAAGUACGUGAAAUUGUCGAAAGGGAAGCGCUUGAAGUCAGCCAUGCUGCGCGGACUCAGCCCGGCUGAUGCCUGGUGUAUUUCCCAGCAGCAAGCCAGCAUGGAUUUGGGUCGCCGGAGAAGGGCACGAGGAAUGUGGCACUUCGUGUGUGUUAAGCCUCGUGCUGGAUACGGCGAGCUGGAUCCAGGAACGCAGUGUGCCUCUGGCGGGUCUUCGGACACCUUCACACUUAGGAUGCUGGCGUAAUGGCUUUAAGCGGCCCGUCUUGAAA
rnacentral:rRNA from 1 species